UACGUAGGGUGCGGAGCGUUGUCCGGAAUUAUUGGGCGUAAAGAGCUUGUAGGCGGUCUGUCGCGUCUGCUGUGAAAAUCCGGGCUCAACCCCGGACUUGCAGUGGGUACGGGCAGACUAGAGUGUGGUAGGGGAGACUGGAAUUCCUGGUGUAGCGGUGAAAUGCGCAGAUAUCAGGAGGAACACCGAUGGCGAAGGCAGGUCUCUGGGCCACUACUGACGCUGAGAAGCGAAAGCAUGGGGGAGCGAACAGG
rnacentral:rRNA from 1 species